UUUAUUACUUAUUCAAUAACCACCACUACAGCUCAUUACACCUCAAAACUGUCCUAAUAACAGGAAAACAGGAUGUGACUGCUAAACAGGGAACCAGGCUGUAGCUGUAGUGUGAUUACUACAUGACACAAUGCAAGAUUUAGUCUGUAAAACUUCACUGUUUCAUGAUCAAAGAUCACCUAGCUUUUAAUGCAGAGAAGGAAAGAAAGAAG